UGUUAAAAAAUUAAUUCAUUUUUAUUGUUAAAAAUUAAUAUGACUAAUAGAAUAAUUAAGCAAUUACACCUGACGCACAACAUUUUAACGUACAAAAACCAAAUUUUAACAGUAGAAUUAGAUAGAAUUUUUAAUA
rnacentral:pre_miRNA from 1 species